AUACGGAGGGAGCGAGCGUUAAUCGGAAUUACUGGGCGUAAAGCGCGCGUAGGCGGCUUUGUAAGUCGGAUGUGAAAGCCCUGGGCUCAACCUGGGAAUGGCAUUCGAUACUGCAUGGCUAGAGUAUGGUAGAGGGAAGUGGAAUUUCCGGUGUAGCGGUGAAAUGCGUAGAUAUCGGAAGGAACACCAGUGGCGAAGGCGACUUCCUGGCCCAAUACUGACGCUCAGGUGCGAAAGCGUGGGGAGCAAACAGGAUUAGAUACCCCGGUAGUCC
rnacentral:rRNA from 1 species